AGCUAUAUGCUAUAUGCCAUUAGAGUGAAAACUUAGUCUUUUACAAUGAAAUAAGUUCCCCAAAAUCUAAAAUGGAGUGGUAUCAAAGGAGAAUUAAAAGAAAAAAUAUUCAUAUUGAAAUUAUUUAUAAGGCACUGGACUGUCUUAAAUUCUACAAAUACUAGAAUCAGCUGAGAGAAGUGGUGUACAAAAAAACUAGGAAGGGAAUGGAAUAUGUGGCUACGAAAGGCAAAAGAAAUGAUUACAAAGCAAAUGUGACACAUUUUUUUAAAAAUAUGUAGGAAUAUCAGUAAACUACAUUAAAAAUGUAUGAAAAGAUUUUGUGCAAUAAAAAUGUUUAUAUUUA